rnacentral:rRNA from 1 species
CCUACGGGAGGCAGCAGUGAGGAAUAUUGGUCAAUGGGCGCGAGCCUGAACCAGCCAAGUAGCGUGAAGGAUGACUGCCCUACGGGUUGUAAACUUCUUUUAUAAAGGCAUAAAGUGAGGCACGUGUGCCUUUUUGUAUGUACUUUAUGAAUAAGGAUUGGCUAACUACGUGCCAGCAGCCGCGGUAAUACGGAGGAUCCGAGCGUUAUCCGGAUUUAUUGGGUUUAAAGGGAGCGUAGAUGGGUUGUUAAGUCAGUUGUGAAAGUUUGCGGCUCAACCGUAAAAUUGCAAUUGAUACUGGCAGCCUUGAGUACAGUUGAGGUAGGCGGAAUUCGUGGUGUAGCGGUGGAAUGCUUAGAUAUCACGAAGAACUCCGGUUGCGAAGGCAGCCUACUAAACUGCCACUGACAUUGAUGCGCGAAAGUGUGGGGAUCAAACAGGAUUAGAUACCCGAGUAGUC